rnacentral:rRNA from 1 species
UAGAUCGGGAUAACACCUGGAAACAGAUGCUAAUACCGGAUAACAACAGAUGAUGCCUAUCAACUGUUUAAAAGAUGGUUCUGCUAUCACUCUUGGAUGGACCUGCGGUGCAUUAGCUAGUUGGUAGGGUAACGGCCUACCAAGGCGAUGAUGCAUAGCCGAGUUGAGAGACUGAUCGGCCACAUUGGGACUGAGACACGGCCCAAACUCCUACGGGAGGCAGCAGCC